rnacentral:rRNA from 1 species
UAAAGCGUGCGCAGGCGGUUUUGUAAGACUGUCGUGAAAUCCCCGGGCUCAACCUGGGAAUGGCGAUGGUGACUGCAAGGCUAGAGUUUGGCAGAGGGGGGUAGAAUUCCACGUGUAGCAGUGAAAUGCGUAGAUAUGUGGAGGAACACCGAUGGCGAAGGCAGCCCCCUGGGUCAAAACUGACGCUCAUGCACGAAAGCGUGGGGAGCAAACAGGAUUAGAUACCCUAG